rnacentral:rRNA from 1 species
GAUGAACGCUGGCGGCGUGCCUAAUACAUGCAAGUCGAGCGAACAGACGAGGAGCUUGCUCCUUUGACGUUAGCGGCGGACGGGUGAGUAACACGUGGGUAACCUACCUAUAAGACUGGGAUAACUUCGGGAAGCCGGAGCUAAUACCGGAUCAUAUUUCGAACCGCAUGGUUCGAUAGUGAAAGAUGGCUUUGCUAUCACUUAUAGAUGGACCUGCGCCGUAUUAGCUAGUUGGUAAGGUAACGGCUUACCAAGGCAACGAUACGUAGCCGACCUGAGAGGGUGAUCGGCCACACUGGAACUGAGACACGGUCCAGACUCCUACGGGAGGCAGCAGUAGGGAAUCUUCCGCAAUGGGCGAAAGCCUGACGGAGCAACGCCGCGUGAGUGAUGAAGGUCUUCGGAUCGUAAAACUCUGUUAUUAGGGAAGAACAAACGUGUAAGUAACUGUGCACGUCUUGACGGUACCUAAUCAGAAAGCCACGGCUAACUACGUG